AUCUCAUAGACCUUGAAGCUUUGUAAUUGCUUUAGUUAUCAGAAAGAGAUUUUAACUCUUGCUUUUAAAAUCUCGUCUCGAAUUGUUCUUCAUCUUAUUUUCAUCAAUUUCUAUUUCAGACAGUAUUUAUUUGGUUGGUUUGCUGGAGAUAUGGAUUCCCGAUCAACAAGUACCAGUGAACCGAAACACCAACAAAAUCAGAUCGGCCUACAGUGAGCGGGUAUGUAAAGAAUCUGACUGCUGUGACACUGUCGCGUGUUCGAAAACGCAAAUACUUUCAGUUUACACUGCACACUGCAGAUGAUCACUAGAAAGUUGUAUGUUUUUCACCAGAAAGGAAAAGCUCUUAUCGAAUAUUGAAAAGUCUGACUCAACAACAGGAUGACAGAUUAAAAAGGUUCGUGUAAAUGAGCGCAAUGAAGUGAUGGUAGGGGACAUGUUGCACAAUGUUAAAAGACUGUAACCUAGACUUCCCAACAAUACAGCACCAAUCAAAUUUCAUCACCAUAGCUGCUGUAAAUAACGAGUCAUCACUUUUUGACAUAGUUAAUGUAGUUCGUUUGGUAUACAAUUUCGCUUAUAUUGAAUCGUACAAUAAAACCAUUUCCCCUAAGGAAAGCAACAGUGAAAGAUGUCACUGACAAUAUAGCCAUAACGUUUUUCAGAGAUUUAGUGUCGAAGGUACAAGAAAAAAUCUACUUUCAAGUUAACCAACUCACGGGUCUCAAAAUACAUGAACACGUGUUUGCUUAGAACCACAGAGGCAACCACAACUGAUGAAGUUAACUUCGAUUUCUACGAAGAAAAUCUUUAAGAUUUGGUUUUUGAAGUUGCUACUGGGAGAAUAAUAAAUGUAAAACUGGACACUGGCAGAAAAAUUGCUUUGUAAUAAAUGUAAAAGCGAUAUUGUCCAAGAAAACGGUAUAUUUAUCUAUGAUAAAUGUAAUACGAUGGGGACUAUUAACAACAAUAGUGGACAACUUUUCCAAUGAAAAAAUAAAUUUUGAUGCA